GCCAAAUUGUGCAUCGCUUCUUCAAUUGAGAAAAUGCUUGUGAAGGUCGUUCCAGGCUUUCUCCUCUCUAUUGUAAUAAAUAUGUAUUUCAAUACAUUUCGUAAUUACUUAUCACUCACUUCGGACUUUUCCAAAUUAACGGGAUGGCGAAAUCCAACUUUGACAAAGGAGUAGAGCAGGACCAAUGUGACCAAAAGAUGCAGUCCAACCAUGAUGAGGAAAAGGGCAGUGGUCCCCCACAAUUUGAUAAACUGCGUUAGGUUCUCAUCAUCUACCUUCGUGACCUGUGUAAUAGCCACGGUUCCAGCUAAGAGGACCAGCCCAAUUCCAAACGUGACCCCAGUCAACGACUUUGCAAUUUAAAAGAAAUGUAUACGAAAAAUCCUUGAUUUGAGUUUGUAAAUAUUUAAGUAUGAAAAAUGUAUUAAGUAAUUCUCACCAAUUCGUGGUUGUACACGUAAUUGUGUAUGUGUCUUAAAUUAUACGUCGACUGAAACGCUCAGCAGUCCCGUCCCAGUUGCUCCCCAUGAGGACGCCGAUAUUUAUAACAUUUUCAACUUCAAAAUACACCC